rnacentral:rRNA from 1 species
UACGUAGGGGGCGAGCGUUGUCCGGAUUCAUUGGGCGUAAAGCGCGCGUAGGCGGCUUCGCAAGUCGGCCGUGAAAUCUCCGGGCUCAACUCGGAGGGGUCGGGCGAGACUGCGAGGCUCGAGGUGGGCAGAGGGCAGUGGAAUUCCGGGUGUAGUGGUGGAAUGCGUAGAGAUCCGGAGGAACACCAGUGGCGAAGGCGGCUCACUGGACCACAACUGACGCUGAGGCGCGAAAGCUAGGGGAGCAAACAGG